CAAGUAUGGCGGAGAAUUUGAACACCCCGUCACAUUUUCUUUCAGUUAAGCCACCAGUACAAAAAAUAAUGAAUGGACAGAAAGAAAAGAUAGAUUUAUUACCACCAUCAGCCUUCCAAGACAUAGGAAAAGACGAUGCUUGGAAAGAGCUAGCUAGGGCAACAACUGAUGUCAUGAACUUAAAACUUGAAAACCAAAAAUUAAGGGAAGAACAAAAUAAGCCAAUAUUUGUUCCCACACCAGUUGCCAAAAGUCCACGAGAGGAAUGCAGGUACAAUGUUAAAGAAGACAGAAAAUACAUUGAUGAACUUAUAACUAAGCAGGCAUCAGAAAUAGCUGAGCUAAGAAAUGAAAUAAGACAACUGAAAUGUGUUCGUAAGGAGGAGAUAACUGAGAUAGAAAGACAAACAACAGCCAGUGAGAGGAAGAAUAUGCAGACAAUAGCUAUCUUAGAGGCUGACCUAAAGUCACGGGAAGAUAGAUAUGAUUCACAGGUUGAUAGGCUGAGUUCAGAACACCAAAGAGAGGUAGAAACUUUAUAUAAUCAGAUUCAAACAUUAGAAGAUCAGUUAUCAUCUGUAUCUACAAGAUCUAAAGAUAGAAUCAGACAGCUGGAGUCAGAGCUGGAGAAAGAAAGAGAAGAGGCGUCAGAAAAUACUUCCAGAUUACAGUUAGAAAUUAAAACUUUUACAUAUAAUAUAGAAAAUCAAAAUAAACAGAUUGUGCAGUUAAAGAAUUAUAUUGGUGAUACUGAAAAAGGUCCAAAACCUGCUGAAGUGUGGAGAAAGGAGAAAGAGACAUUAGAAAACAAACUGCAGAUAUUAGAAGUAGAUAAAGAAAAUAUACAGUCAAAUUUACAGCUGUUAAACAUAAGAUUUUCCUCUUUGAAUGAAAUUCUACGGACACAGGAAGCUGAAAUAUCAAGGGUUUCACAAGAUAAAACAGACAAGAACAAACAGGAGAAUUUAUUAUUGACCAGGUGGAGGGAAAAAGUAUUUGCAUUAAUGGUUCAACAAAAAUCUGCUGCUAUUAUAAAACAUAAGGAUGAACAAAACUGGAAAGGAAAGGUUGGUGAUUUAGAGAACAGAUUAGUAUCAGCAAACAACCAAAUGAAUGUUUUGUCUCAUGCUAUGUCUGAUAAACAGGCUCAACUAGACAUGGAAGUCAACAAUAAUAAGAAAUUACAACAUGAGGUGAUACAAGCCCAGCAGAUGGCAUUAUUGUUAGAUGACAGAUUGAUAGAGAACAGACAGUCAGCAGAACAAUUACAACAGUUCUGUAAAAGUGUUUGUGGAAAACUGGAAGAAUCCUAUAGUGUACUUAAUACAGUGUUCAAUACCAUGAAAACCUACGGUCAGAGAAUUAGUUUUGCCAGUGGUCGUGUUGAAAUGUUGCAAGGUUUGUUUGCAAGAAAGAAAGCAAUGUCCCAGUUACAGACAGAAGACAAAACAGAACCACUUUUACAGUUAACAGAUGUACAGGAUGAUUCAUCAAUUUUAAGAAGAGAGUUAGAAAGAGUUACAGAGGAGAGAGACCGAGUUGUGUCACAACUAAAACAAGAUUCUGAGACAUGGGCAGAAAGGCAUACAGCUGCAUCUGUUCAAAAGGAUGAAGAAAUAAAAAAUUUGAGAGAAACAAUAGAAGAAUUAGAAAUGGAUCUUCAAGGAAAAUCACAGCAAUGUAACAAAUUAACAGAAGAAGUUGAUAGAUUAAAUAUUGAGUUAGAGGAUGCUAAUGAACAGAUAGAUAACCUGAAAAUAGAACUGGGAAAAUGUCAGGUCACAUCAGACCAAGUGAUAGAAGAGCAGAAGACUAUUAUAGAACAAGAGUUUGCAGAACAACUGGCAGAUUUAGACAGACAACUCAAUGAUGCCAAAAGAGAACAUACAAAAGCUGUUGUAUCACUGAGGCAGCUGGAGAGACAGACAGCAAGAGAGAAAGAAAGAGCCACAGAACAUUUAAACACAGUAGAGCAGCAUUAUACAAGACAAAUAGAAGGGAUACAACAGAGACUACAGACUGUGGAGUCGGAGAGAAAUCUUAUGAUGGUAAGUAGAAGGUAGAGAUGGGAAUCAUGAAACCAAAGAGGGGAGAACAGAGACUACAGACUGUGGAGUCUGAGAGAAAUCUUAUGAUGGUAAGUAUAAGGUAGAGAUUGGAAUCAUGAAACCAAAGAGGGGAGAACAGAGACUACAGACUGUGGAGUCAGAGAGAAAUCUUAUGAUGGUAAGUAUCAGGUAGAGAUUGGAAUCAUGAAACCAAAGAGGGGAGAACAGAGACUACAGACUGUGGAGUCGGAGAGAAAUCUUAUGAUGGUAAGUAUAAGGUAGAGAUUGGAAUCAUGAAACCAAAGAGGGGAGAACAGAGACUACAGACUGUGGAGUCGGAGAGAAAUCUUAUGAUGGUAAGUAUCAGGUAGAGAUUGGAAUCAUGAAACCAAAGAGGGGAGAACAGAGACUACAGACUGUGGAGUCGGAGAGAAAUCUUAUGAUGGUAAGUAUAAGGUAGAGAUGGGAAUCAUGAAACCAAAGAGGGGAGAACAGAGACUACAGACUGUGGAGUCUGAGAGAAAUCUUAUGAUGGCUACAUUAAGGCAAGAAGGAUUAAUAGGGAGAGUUAAGAAUGCCAGAGGGGAACCAGUCCAGUUUGAUGAAUCAGCAGAAUCUCAAGAACCAGAAAUAUCACUACCAAGUAAACUAGAGUUAUCUCCACCUGUUAAAG